rnacentral:rRNA from 1 species
GUUAAGAAUCUUCCUCAAUGGGGGCAACCCUGAAGGAGCGACGCCGCGUGAUUGAAGAAGCUCUUCGGAGUGUAAAAAUCUUUUCUGGGGGAAAAAUAGCCGUCUUUAAGACGGUCUUGAUGGUACCCCAGGAAUAAGUCACGACUAACUUCGUGCCAGCAGUCGCGGUAAUACGAAGGUGACAAGCGUUUCCCGGAAUUAUUGGGCGUAAAGCGUCAGCAAGUUGUUUUAUAAGUCUGUUGUUAAAUCUUAAGGCUCAACCUUAAGGCUGCAACAGAUACUGUAAGACUUGAGUUUGGGAGAGGUAGCUGGAAUUUCUGGUGUAACAGUAAAAUGUGUUGAUAUCAGAAAGAACGCCAUUUGCGAAAGCUAGCUACUAGUCCAAAUCUGACACCCAGUGACGAAAGCGUGGGGAGCGAACGGGAUUAGAUACCCGUGUAGUCC